GGGGUUGUGGCUCAGCGGUAGAGCGCUCACCUCGCAUGUGCAAGGCCCUGGGUUCAAUCCUCAGCACCACA
rnacentral:tRNA from 1 species